GUACGCUGGCGGCUGCUUACCCACUGCCCCCAUGAACGGGUUUAAGUUUAUUCAACUUAUCCAAGUAGCGGACGGGUGAGUAACGCGUAAGAACCUACCUUUAGCGUAAGGACAUAACUAUUGGAAACGAUAGAUAAUACCUUAUAAGCUUAUAGUAAAAGAUAAAAUCGCCUAAGGAUGGGCUUGCGUCUGAUUAGCUUGUUGGUGAUUUAAAAGAUUCACCAAGGCAACGAUCAGUAGUUGGUCUAAGAGGAUGAUCAACCACACUGGGACUGAGACACGGCCCAGACCUCUACGGAGGGCAGCAGUGAGGAAUUUUCCGCAAUGGGCGAAAGCCUGACGGAGCAAUGCCGACGUGGAGGAUGAAAGCUUGUGAGUCGUAAACUCCUUUUCUUAGUGAAGAAAUAAGACGGUAUCUAAGGAAUAAGCAUCGGCUAACUCCGUGCCAGACAGACGCGGUAAUACGGAGGAUGCAAGCGUUAUUCGGAAUUAUUGGGCGUAAAGCGUCUGUAGGUGGUAUAUAUAAAGUCUACUGUUAAAUAUUAAGGCAUUAACCUUACAAAAAAGCGGUAUGAAACUAACAAAACUUGAGUUUACGUCACGAGGGUAGAGCGGAAAUUCUCGGAUGUAGUGCGUGCAAAUGCGUAGCAGCAUCGAGAAAGAACACCGGUAGCGAAGAGAGCUCCUACUGGGCUAAACUGAAACAUGAGAGACAAAAGCUAAGGGAGCAAAUAGGAUUUAAUACCCUCAAUCAUCCUAGCUGUCAACGAGGAUUCUCAAGUGUGGCUAUCAAA
rnacentral:rRNA from 1 species